UCAACGCGUGUCUUCCUUUUAUUUUGUAGGAAUGACACAAUGGAGACCUUCUGUAGAACGUAUUGAAAGAUCCGAGGUGCAGGAUCAUCUAACCAGGGCCGAGUUUACCGGACGCUUCUGAGCUAUCCAAGGAUUAACAGCAAUUGUAGGGCAAAACCAAGCCAACCCUUGUCAACAUCCUGCCCCAGAAUACCGACCAGCCGAAAAGUCUAUCUCUCACAACAUAGCGGAGUUUAAGAAGAUUAACCUGCUACACUUCGAAGGUCGCCCUAACCCUUUAUUGGCUGAAGCCUGGAUCCUGC
rnacentral:lncRNA from 1 species